UAUUUUUUGAUACUUUACUGACCCCUAGCGGUUCAAUAGCAUAUGCACGUCCGACCGGCGACUCAGGCGCAGAUUCUCCCUGGCGCCGGCUUUGUUUCGGUUUACACUCUACAAUACCAAUCUUUUCGCUGGUGGCACUGAAAACCUGACCUCGCAACAGCAGUACGUUCACCUUGCCCUUAAAUAAGACUCUGGAUUGCCGUGUACCGGUCCAUCGAAACGGUCGAGACGGUGAGGAAGAGAGAGGGAAUAAAAAGAGGAAAAUAAAGGGGGAAAGGGACAGGUGGGCCAAGGGGAAGGAUCGCAGGUACAUUAAAGAAACAAGUAGCAGCGGAGGAAAGGAGGUCAGCGUGGAAUGGCUGGCGAGAAACCGCGCAAUCGUAUCGUGGCUGAAUCAGUGAGGCAAAUGUAAAGAAAGUAAAUGUAGAAAAGCUAGAUAAGACUGUAACGUGCUGUAUAUUAUAAGGAAAUUUCUUUCCAACGA